rnacentral:lncRNA from 1 species
CCCAUGACUGAAGAAUCUAAAUAAACAUGAGCCAUGUAAAUACAAUCUGGAACCAACAAACACCAAACUUAAAGGACAAACUCAACAACAUUGACUUGGUAAAACACGACUCAAAAAUGGACUGGACUUAAAUGCAUUGAUUGAGCUUAAUAAGCGGCCCAAAGGCCCACUACUCGACCCGACUAUCUUCAGCGCACAUAACAGAUCCCUCUCCAUCAAAAGACCUUGUCCUCUAGGUCAGGGAAACACUAUUUGAGCUCGUCUUCUACCCAACAAUUCUCCUGGUUUUCUUCCAAUUUUGUUUCCGGGUGAAUGAUUGCUAAGUUUCCUUCCUCCUCUCUAAGUUCAACAAUCUCUUCCUCCUCUAUGUCUUCCAACAGAAAAAUUUUAGGCUUACUGCAUCCGUGACCAAUGUGAAAAUUUUCAUCACAAUAGUAGCAUAGCCCUUUCUCCCUUCUUUCUUGCAUUUGAGUUAGGAUUAUUCUUUUAAUGGGAAGGUUUUGUUUUCCAUUUGGGUUGAAGGUAUUUGGGUAGGUCUUAUUUUCUUGUUUGGCUUGUGGGAGUGGUAGUCUUGGUAGGGGAAUGAGAGCAGGUACCUUGGUAAUGGAUGGGGUGUUUGGUAGUGUUAAUUGGUAGGACUUACCCGAGACACCCGUAUAC